GCUGGGUGUGGUGGCCCAGGCCUGUAAUCCCAGAUUCUUGGGAGGCUGAGGCAGGAGAAUUGCAAGUUUGAGACCAGCCUCAG
rnacentral:sRNA from 1 species